rnacentral:misc_RNA from 1 species
UUAAGUUCAGCGGGUAGUCCUACCUGAUUUGAGAUCGAACGUUUGAAAAGCUGUCUUCGCUGAGGAGAGACAUCUGUAAGCUCCAGCGAACCUCCAUCACUGAAGGUCACUCAGCAGACGAUCACGAGCGUAGAUAGUUAUCACACCCAUGACGCCGCCAAAACACUGGCAAGCUGAUUCAUUUGAGAGGAGCCAACCGU